UACGUAGGGUGCGAGCGUUGUCCGGAAUUACUGGGCGUAAAGAGCUCGUAGGUGGUUUGUCGCGUCGUCUGUGAAAUUCCGGGGCUUAACCUCGGGCGUGCAGGCGAUACGGGCAAUACUUGAGUGCUGUAGGGGAGACUGGAAUUCCUGGUGUAGCGGUGGAAUGCGCAGAUAUCAGGAGGAACACCGAUGGCGAAGGCAGGUCUCUGGGCAGUAACUGACGCUGAGGAGCGAAAGCAUGGGUAGCGAACAGGAUUAGAUA
rnacentral:rRNA from 1 species